CUUAGCUAACUUUUCAAUAUUGAAAAUUUCUAAUUUGAUAUGAUUUUGUUACAUUAUAGUAAAAUUGAAUGUCGAUCAUUGGUUGUUUGCUUGAGAAAAUAUGCAGAAUUAAGGUAAAAAAAUUAUUUUUUAUACAUAAUUUUGAUUUUAAUUUUAUAUGAUUGAUUGGAUAGUUCAAUUCGCUAUUUGCUUAUAUAAUUUAUUCUUUUAACUGCGUAGAUGAAAAAGAGCAAUAUGGAGAUCGAAGGCGAAAGGAAAGAUAUUCAAGGUUGCAACAAAAAUACAAAAGGAGACAUUCAUUACAAGGUUAGAUAUCCAACUCAAAUUAUUAUAUUUUAUAUUAUAAUAUCACAUUUCUUGCAAUUAUUUUGUAUUUUGAACUAUUGGACAUGUUGCAUCAAAUUGUAGGUAAUGUUCUAUAAAAAUUAAACUAUUGAUUAUAUAAUAUCGAGAAUUUCAAUCCGCUCGUUUAGAGCUCGAGCUCGGCUCGACUCGAAAUUAGGCUCGCUCGAGCUCGGCUCGAAUUAAUUUCAAGCCGAGCUUGAGCCUAGAUUUAAGCUCGAAAUUAAUUUCAAGCCGAAUUUGAGCCGACAUAAGCUCGCUCGAGCUCGGCUCGUUUCCACCCCUAGUUUGGCGUCCAAGAGAAUUCGAGGUGGCGAUAACUUGUCGGUGACUGCACCGCACGAGUCGAAGUGGCGAAUCGGGGAUACAACAACCAUUCUGGUCCGUGCAUAAAAAAAUCUAUACAAUAUACGUGUGUGUGUAUAUAUAUAUAAAACUAAAUUUAGAAUAUAUAUACUUAGAAAUAAAUCAAAUUUAUAAAUAAUUGACUACAAUUUUGAUGUUCAAAAAAGUAUGUAGUGCUUAGUUUUUCUUAUUAUUGGAAGUUGGUAAAAUACUAUAGCAUUCUAUAUGUAAUGUGCACUUCACCGGACGGACGCACCUUUGCGACGUCGGCGAGGGUGGCAGGGAGGGGGCAGAGCGUGCGCAGAUGCGCGGCGUAGGUGGCGUCCAUCGCCGGAUCCUGCUCCGCCGUCGCGGAGAAGUUGUACAGCCUAUUGCUGAACGCGACGCAGUGGGCCCCGCCGACGGAGUGGGCCCCGGCGAGCACCACCAU
rnacentral:lncRNA from 1 species